CCGUCAGACGUCGCUCAGCGCCGGAGAGGAUAAGGGUCGGCCGCUCGUCGUCGGAGAGGAGGAAGGAGGAGAGAAGCUUACCGUCGGACGUCGCUCGGCACCGGAGAGGACAAGAGUCGGCCGCUCGUCGUUGGAGAGGAGAGAGGAGGAGAGGAGCUAGGGCUAGCCUUGAUCGGGAUGCAGAAUGAGGAGGAGGGGAACGACCGCUAGGUUUUGAUGUCAAUUUUACUUCUGACGACGCGUAUCAGCAUCGUCUUAAGCCAUAGUCUACGAUGACGCUAGUUCAAAAAGCACCGACGCUUGGGAAAAGCGUCGGCAAAAAAGGAUCGUUACGGCACAAUUUUUCUGUAGUGACACCUGUAGGAAUAAGUUAGUAUCAGAGCCAGAUUCCUCUACAUUAAUGAGAGUAAGUUGGUACCAAAGCUAGAAAUUCUUCUUUCUCCCCAAUCGGAUUAGGUUGGUAUCAAAGCUCUAAUCCUCUAUAUCCAUGGGGGCCUCUAUUCAUGGUCCAAAUACAUGAACAACAAGCAAUCAAGAGAAGUUCUAUCCGUGCUUCAAGUACAUCAAAGGACAAAGACGAGUAUGGAUGCUAGUUCUUCCUCGAUGGAUAAUGAGACAAAGGGACGUCUCAUACAACUGGAGGAGAAGAUUGUCUAACUCACUAAGAUCAUCUUCAAAUUGGUGAUACCUUCAGCACAAGCACCAGCAACUCCUAUUGCCAAGUUGUUUCCUACAUCUCAAGAUGACAAUCUACCAUCCAGGAAGGAGGAUGGGAUAAGCAGCCUACAGGUACAAAAAAUAUCUCUCGUCAACCAUUUAAAGUUAAAGGUCAAAUCGAGAACAAUUAGCUAGACCAGUUGAGACAUACUUUACUGUUUAUAGAUACUCUAAUAUCCAAAAGAUAUCUUUUGCCAAUCUCAAGCUUCCUAGCAAUGAUCUUACCUGGUGGAAUUCGUACAUAAGGAAAACGACAUCUCAAAUCUAGCAUAGAAUAAAUUCAAGAGUCUAACCAAGUAGUUCUACCCAAUCAACCAUGAGAAGGAUCGGUGGAUCAAGCGACAGUACCUAUGACAUAUGAUCAGUCUGUCCAGAAGUACACUAUCCUGCAACAAGUUUGUGAUAAUAACCACCACCCACCCAAGGCAAUGCUCUUUCCCGCAACAUGGAAGGCAGCUGUGGGAUGCUCACUCUUAGGCUCUUAGGCACAAAAGACCAAGUGCUAGUUAUUGACAUAAGUUGGUUGAAAAGAAAAAU
rnacentral:lncRNA from 1 species